UAAUUUUGUUAUUAUGAAUUAAUAGGUAUUGCAUACCAUUUAAAAAAAUUUUUAUAAUUAGAUAAAAAAUAAAAUUAAAAGGUAGAAAUUACAAUUUUUUUAUUGUUUCAUAAUAAAAAUUAUGUAAUUUAGAGUUGAAAUGUCGACUUUUAAGAUAUUUGUGUAUUGAUAGUAGGUUAUUAGAAAUUUGUAAAGUAAAGUAGUAAAAUUAUUAUAAAAAGUAAAAGUUGAAGUAUUUUUAUGUUUUAGUUUUAUAACUGUUUAUAAUUUUAGAUGUUGAAUAUCGUUAUAAUAAUUGGUUUUAAACUAUUAAAUUAAUAAUAGUUAAAUUAUUUUGAAAUAAGUAAAUUAAUUAAAAAAAGUUUAUUUUUAGAAUUUAAUAAAAUAACUAAAUAGUUAAUCAAAUGUUUAUUAAAGACUUAGGCUUUUAGGUAAAGUUUGCUUUUGCCCAGUGAAAAGUUUUUAAAUGGCAGUCUUAGCGUGAGGACAUUAAGGUAGCAAAAUAAUUUGUGCUUUUAUUGAGUUCCAGUAUGAAUGAAGUUAUUGGUUAAUUAUUUUUUUGUUUUAUGAUGAAUUUAAAUUAAUAUAAAAAAUUAUUAAUAUAAUAAUACAAAGAUAAGUCUUCGGAAAUUCUGUUUCAAUAUUAAUUUUUGUUAAUAUUAAUAAUUUUCUAGGGCAGAAUUUUAUAUAAUUUUUGAUUCUAUUUAUAAAUUUAAGAAUUACUCCGGAGUUAACAGAAAAUCAUACCUAAUCUAGUACUUAUAGUAAGGUAAGUUUUACAUCGAUGUUGUAUUUAAGUUUAUUAAAAAAGGAGAAAAUUUAAGUUUUAAGACUGUUCUUCUUUUAAUUAAUUUAACGUGAUAUUAGUUUAAUUCAUUGUGAGAUAGAAUUGUUUAUCUUGAUUAUUAUUAUAAAAAAGUUUUAAUAGUACGAAAGGAAAAUUAAAAAAAGUUUUAAACUUUUUAAUAAGAAAUAUAUUCUUU
rnacentral:rRNA from 1 species